UGAGAUGUAGUUCAGGUAGCAGAAUGCUUGCCUAGCAUGCAUGAAGGCCUGGGUUCAAGCCCCAGCACCACAA
rnacentral:tRNA from 1 species